AUGAAUGCUGGCGGCGUGGAUAAGGCAUGCAAGUCGCACGGUUUUUCUUUUCAAGAAGGUUGAGAUUACAUCAAGACCGACGAGAUUUGAAAGAUAGUGGCGAACGAGUUAGUAACGCCUUGGUAUGUACCCUUUGGUCUAGCAUAGCUCAUCGAAAGGUGGGGUAAUUCUAGAUAGUCUCGCAAGAGUAAAGCAGCAAUGCGCCAUUGGAGCAGCCUAGGUCCGAUCAGUUAGUUGGCGAGGUAAUGGCUCACCAAGACUAUGACCGGUAGGGGGACUGAGAGGUGGACCCCCAACGACGGCACUGAGACACGGGCCGUACACCUACGGGUGGCAGCAGCCGAGAAUAUUGCACAAUGGGGGGAACCCUGAUGCAGCAACGCCGCGUGGAGGAUGACGCAUUUCGGUGUGUAAACUCCUUUUAUAUGUCAAGAAAAUGACGGUAGCAUAUGAAUAAGCACCGGCUAACUCCGU
rnacentral:rRNA from 1 species